rnacentral:miRNA from 1 species
CCUCUGCCCCUCUCCUCCCGCA